UACAGAGGUCUCAAGCGUUGUUCGGAUUCAUUGGGCGUAAAGGGUGCGUAGGUGGCUCCGUAAGUCAGGUGUGAAAUUUCGGAGCUUAACUCCGAAACUGCAUUUGAUACUGCGGUGCUUGAGGACUGGAGAGGAGACUGGAAUUUACGGUGUAGCAGUGAAAUGCGUAGAGAUCGUAAGGAAGACCAGUGGCGAAGGCGGGUCUCUGGACAGUUCCCGACACUGAGGCGCGACAGCGUGGGGAGCAAACAGG
rnacentral:rRNA from 1 species